rnacentral:rRNA from 1 species
GACGAACGCUGGCGGCGUGCUUAACACAUGCAAGUCGAACGGAAAGGCCCUGCUUUUGUGGGGUGCUCGAGUAGCGAACGGGUGAGUAACACGUGAGUAACCUGCCCUUGACUUUGGGAUAACUUCAGGAAACUGGGGCUAAUACCGGAUAGGAGCUCCUGCUGCAUGGUGGGGGUUGGAAAGUUUCGGCGGUUGGGGAUGGACUCGCGGCUUAUCAGCUUGUUGGUGGGGUAGUGGCUUACCAAGGCUUUGACGGGUAGCCGGCCUGAGAGGGUGACCGGCCACAUUGGGACUGAGAUACGGCCCAGACUCCUACGGGAGGCAGCAGUGGGGAAUAUUGCACAAUGGGCGGAAGCCUGAUGCAGCAACGCCGCGUGCGGGAUGACGGCCUUCGGGUUGUAAACCGCUUUCGCCUGUGACGAAGCGUGAGUGACGGUAAUGGGUAAAGAAGCACCGGCUAACUACGUGCCAGCAGCCGCGGUGAUACGUAGGGUGCGAGCGUUGUCCGGAUUUAUUGGGCGUAAAGGGCUCGUAGGUGGUUGAUCGCGUCGGAAGUGUAAUCUUGGGGCUUAACCCUGAGCGUGCUUUCGAUACGGGUUGACUUGAGGAAGGUAGGGGAGAAUGGAAUUCCUGGUGGAGCGGUGGAAUGCGCAGAUAUCAGGAGGAACACCAGUGGCGAAGGCGGUUCUCUGGGCCUUUCCUGACGCUGAGGAGCGAAAGCGUGGGGAGCGAACAGGCUUAGAUACCCUGGUAGUCCACGCUGUAAACGGUGGGUACUAGGUGUGGGGUCCAUUCCACGGGUUCCGUGCCGUAGCUAACGCUUUAAGUACCCCGCCUGGGGAGUACGGCCGCAAGGCUAAAACUCAAAGGAAUUGACGGGGCCCCGCACAAGCGGCGGAGCAUGCGGAUUAAUUCGAUGCAACGCGUAGAACCUUACCUGGGUUUGACAUGGAUCGGGAGUGCUCAGAGAUGGGUGUGCCUCUUUUGGGGUCGGUUCACAGGUGGUGCAUGGCUGUCGUCAGCUCGUGUCGUGAGAUGUUGGGUUAAGUCCCGCAACGAGCGCAACCCUUGUUCACUGUUGCCAGCACGUUAUGGUGGGGACUCAGUGGAGACCGCCGGGGUCAACUCGGAGGAAGGUGGGGAUGACGUCAAGUCAUCAUGCCCCUUAUGUCCAGGGCUUCACGCAUGCUACAAUGGCUGGUACAGAGAGUGGCGAGCCUGUGAGGGUGAGCGAAUCUCGGAAAGCCGGUCUCAGUUCGGAUUGGGGUCUGCAACUCGACCUCAUGAAGUCGGAGUCGCUAGUAAUCGCAGAUCAGCAACGCUGCGGUGAAUACGUUCCCGGGGCU